GGCAGAGUGGUCUAGUCGAAUGAUUCGCGCUUCGGGCAUUUUUUUUCAACAAUGCGCGAGGUCCCAGGUUCAAUUCCUGGAUGAGCUC
rnacentral:tRNA from 1 species